rnacentral:lncRNA from 1 species
CAUUAUUUAAAACUCUUUACUGAUGUACACAUUUUAAUAAAAUCAAAUAACCAAAAAAUAAAAAUACACAAAGCCACAGUUACUUAAAACAUAGGAUUUUUUUUAAGUCUAUAAAAAUACAAUGUUUAAGGCAGUUUGGAAAUGCAUUUAUACAUUUCUACAAUGUUCAUAAAUUCUCUUGAAAAUAAGAAUGUUAACUUCAAAUCUAUAAAAUACACUGUACAUUUUUAAACUGUUCUAGAUAGAGCAAACUUCACAAUUGAUGGUGGUUCUGGAUCCCUGGUGACAAAUGGAUUCUUUACAUUUCAGGCAAGAAAGGUGUACCAUGGAUGUGGAAAGAACAAAAAUGACAACAAAACAAACAUCAUAAAGAGGCUUUCAUAAAUGGCAGUGCAGAGCUCUUUUAAAUAAAAACUUGCAUUGUUCAACACCACUAGCAACUCUCUAGAUAGCAUU